rnacentral:rRNA from 1 species
GAUGAACGCUGGCGGCGUGCCUAAUACAUGCAAGUCGAGCGAACGGACGAGAAGCUUGCUUCUCUGAUGUUAGCGGCGGACGGGUGAGUAACACGUGGAUAACCUACCUAUAAGACUGGGAUAACUUCGGGAAACCGGAGCUAAUACCGGAUAAUAUUUUGAACCGCAUGGUUCAAAAGUGAAAGACGGUCUUGCUGUCACUUAUAGAUGGAUCCGCGCUGCAUUAGCUAGUUGGUAAGGUAACGGCUUACCAAGGCAACGAUGCAUAGCCGACCUGAGAGGGUGAUCGGCCACACUGGAACUGAGACACGGUCCAGACUCCGACGGGAGGCAGCAGUAGGGAAUCUUCCGCAAUGGGCGAAAGCCUGACGGAGCAACGCCGCGUGAGUGAUGAAGGUCUUCGGAUCGUAAAACUCUGUUAUUAGGGAAGAACAAAUGUGUAAGUAACUGUGCACAUCUUGACGGUACCUAAUCAGAAAGCCACGGCUAACUACGUG